rnacentral:rRNA from 1 species
GACGAACGCUGGCGGCGUGCCUAACACAUGCAAGUAGGACGCAGUUGCGAACGGGUGAGUAACGCGUAGGUAACUGCCUAUUAGAGGGGAAUAACUAUUGGAAACGAUAGCUAAUACCGCAUACUAGUAGAUGGACCUGCGUUGUAUUAGCUAGUAGGUAGGGUAAUGGCCUACGUAGGCGACGCUACAUAGCCGACCUGAGAGGGGGUGCUGACAAACUGGGACUGAGACACGGCCCAGACUCCUACGGGAGGCAGCAGUAGGGAAUCUUCGGCAAUGGGGGGAACCCUUGCCGAGCAACGCCGGGGGAGUGAAGAAGGUUUUCGGAUCGUAAAGCUCUGUUGUUAAGGAAGCGGUACUUAACCAGAAAGGGACGGCUAACUACGUGCCAGCAGCCGCGGUAAUUC